GAGGAAUAUUGGUCAAUGGAGGCAACUCUGAACCAGCCAUGCCGCGUGAAGGAUGAAGGCGCUAUGCGUUGUAAACUUCUUUUGUACGGGAAGAAACCUCUCUACGUGUAGGGAGCUGACGGUACCGUAAGAAUAAGCAUCGGCUAACUCCGUGCCAGCAGCCGCGGUAAUACGGAGGAUGCAAGCGUUAUCCGGAUUUAUUAGGUUUAAAGGGUGCGCAGGCGGAAAUGUAAGUCAGUGGUGAAAGCCUACAGCUUAACUGUAGAACUGCCAUUGAUACUGCUUUUCUUGAGUAUAGUUGAAGUAGGCGGAAUGUGUAGUGUAGCGGUGAAAUGCAUAGAUAUUACACAGAACACCGAUUGCGAAGGCAGCUUACUAAACUAUUACUGACGCUCAUGCACGAAAGCGUGGGGAGCGAAC
rnacentral:rRNA from 1 species